CUCCAGCUUGCUGGGGUGAUUAGUGGCGAACGGGUGAGUAACACGUGAGUAACCUGCCCUUGACUCUGGGAUAAGCCUGGGAAACUGGGUCUAAUACCGGAUAUGACCUUCCAUCGCAUGGUGGUUGGUGGAAAGCUUUUGUGGUUUUGGAUGGACUCGCGGCCUAUCAGCUUGUUGGUGAGGUAAUGGCUUACCAAGGCGACGACGGGUAGCCGGCCUGAGAGGGUGACCGGCCACACUGGGACUGAGACACGGCCCAGACUCCUACGGGAGGCAGCAGUGGGGAAUAUUGCACAAUGGGCGCAAGCCUGAUGCAGCGACGCCGCGUGAGGGAUGACGGCCUUCGGGUUGUAAACCUCUUUCAGUAGGGAAGAAGCCGCAAGGUGACGGUACCUGCAGAAGAAGCGCCGGCUAACUACGUGCCAGCAGCCGCGGUAAUACGUAGGGCGCAAGCGUUAUCCGGAAUUAUUGGGCGUAAAGAGCUCGUAGGCGGUUUGUCGCGUCUGCCGUGAAAGUCCGGGGCUCAACUCCGGAUCUGCGGUGGGUACGGGCAGACUAGAGUGAUGUAGGGGAGACUGGAAUUCCUGGUGUAGCGGUGAAAUGCGCAGAUAUCAGGAGGAACACCGAUGGCG
rnacentral:rRNA from 1 species